GUUGAACGCUGGCGGCGGGCCUAAUACAUGCAAGUCGAGCGAACAGAGGAAGAUCUUGCUUCUCUUACGUUACCGGCGGACGAGUGAGUAACACGUAUAUAACCUGCCGAGAGGGCUAGGAUAAGGUCACGAAACCUAAUCUCAUACACGAUAAUAGAUUGAAACGCAUGGUUCAAUAGUGCAAAACCGUUUUGAUGUCACUUAUACAUGUAACCGCGCCGCAUUAGCUAGUUGGUAAGGUAACGGCUUACCAAGGCAACGAUGCGUAGCCGACCUGAGAGGGUGAUCAGUCACACUGGAACUGAGACACGGUCCAGACUCCUACGGGAGGCAGCAGUAGGGAAUAUUGCGCAAUGGGCGAAAGCUUGACGGAGCAAUGCCGCGUGAGUGAUGAAGGUCUUCGGAUUGUAAAGCACUGUUAUUAGGGAAGAAGAAAAGUGUAAGUAACUAUGGAUGUCUUGACGGUACCUAAAGAGAAAGCAACGGCUAACUACGUG
rnacentral:rRNA from 1 species